rnacentral:tRNA from 1 species
UAUAUUUUAGUAUAUAUGUACAUAAAUUUUUGAUAUUUAAGGAAAUAGUAUAAUUCUAUUAUAUAUAA